rnacentral:rRNA from 1 species
UACAGAGGGGGCAAGCGUUGUUCGGAAUUACUGGGCGUAAAGGGCGCGUAGGCGGCCUUCUAAGUCGAACGUGAAAUCCCCGGGCUCAACCCGGGAACUGCGUCCGAGACUGGAAGGCUUGAAUCCGGGAGAGGGAUGUGGAAUUCCAGGUGUAGCGGUGAAAUGCGUAGAUAUCUGGAGGAACAUCGGUGGCGAAGGCGGCAUCUUGGACCGGUAUUGACGCUGAGGCGCGAAAGCCAGGGGAGCAAACGGG